AAGCCUAUCAAUAAUAAAUACACAAAUAACUAAAGUUAAGAGAAAAAAAAAAAGAGAAGCAAGUAUGGCUAAAUCAACUUCUUCACUUGUUGUUGCCAUCAUCUAUCUCAUGAUGUUUUCUUUAGUUGAAGAAAAUAUGGGAUGUGAAGUGGAUUAUGGCUCAUGCAAGGAGAUAGGAAACUGUGAAGUUAUGUGUAUGGUUAAAUUUGGAUCAGCUGCAACGGGUUACUGUGCCGGAGGCAAUGAAACUGGAAGAUGUUAUUGCGAUUUUCCGGGCCCUUGUAUCGGCUGAUAAUAUUCAUAUGUGAUUCAAGCUGUAUUUUGAUUUUUUUUUUAAAUGAAUUAAGAGAAAAAAACUUAAGUUGAAUGUCAACUUGACA